ACAUAAAUAUUUGACUGUUACUUAAUUAUAUUGAAUCACUAUCAGAUAAGUCGAUCUGUGAUCGUCGAUAAGCUGAGUAACCGAACCGAUAUAUAAAUGUGGGAUGCCGCCGUCAUUCAAAACAGUAAACUGUCCAAUUUUGGGAAAUUCGGUUUUGAGGCAAUAAUAUUCAAUAAAUAAUAAUGCCACCCCCACCGCCCCCUUGUGGUCCUGGUUGUCGCUCCGGCAAUUGUCCCCCGUACUGCGCCUACAGAGACCAGCCACCACAGCCCCCUCAUAUGCAUCAGCCCUACCCGCCACCGUACCACGCUCCACCACCAGGACAUCAGCCACCUCCUCACCACCCUCAUCAUCAUGGGCCCCAUGGACCAAGACCUUGAUUUGAUGUGUGAUGUGAUAUUAAAACGCAAGGCCGUUUAAAUCAACAAAAAAUGCAAACAGACAAAAAAAUAUUUUUGAGAUCACAUAAGAUAAUAUAUAGCAAAAUAUGUUUUCUUUUUUAUAUUCAGAUGAAAAAUGUAUUUAUGUAAUGUUAGCACAGUAAAAAUUUAAGGAAAAUAAAUUGUAUCAAUAGAAGACUUAA